rnacentral:tRNA from 1 species
UCCGGGGUAGCUCAAUUGGCAGAGCGGCGGCCUGUUAAGCCGAUGGUUGUGGGUUCGAGUCCCUCCCCCGGAG